rnacentral:lncRNA from 1 species
UCAUGUGUCGCCAAUCCGGCGGCCUAUCAUGGAGGAGGAGGGAACUGGAGAAUCGCCUGCAGAUCAGCGACGAUCCGCUUUCCCAAGAGGCCAAGAGAGCUUGUUUUAAUUUGUUUGUCUGCUUGCUCGACUUGCAUCGACAGAGUUGUUGGACCGUUAGAUUUUUUUUAUUUGUUUAUUAAGAUUUUAUUUUUCACCAACAUGUGUCGGAGCAUAAGUUUUUCAUUAAGAGUAGAGUAUUUAAGAAAUCAGGAGGGGUUGCGCAUCUACUGAAAAUUAAUUAAGAAAACUGAGAGUUUGUACUGCUU